GGAUGCGGGAAGCGUUCGCCCUCCGCGGUGCCGGCUCCGCCCCUUCAGGCACCCAGGGCGGGGCUGCGCCUGCUGCAGGACCCUGCCCUUCAGGAGCCGCUUCCCGCCGCCGCCGCCAUGGUCUCCUGGAUCAUCUCUCGUCUCGUGGUGUUGAUCUUCGGCACCCUCUACCCAGCGUACUCCUCCUACAAGGCCGUGAAGACGAAGAACGUGAAGGAAUAUGUGAAGUGGAUGAUGUACUGGAUUGUGUUUGCCUUUUUUACCACUGCAGAAACACUUACAGACAUUGUUCUUUCUUGGGCUGAGAGAUGCCCUGUUUAUGGAGUUUUCAUGGCUAUGGAUGAAAGACUAAGUGAGACUCGGAGCAGGUUUCCCUUUUAUUUCGAGCUGAAAAUCGCAUUUGUCAUUUGGCUGCUCUCCCCUUACACCAAGGGCUCCAGUGUCCUCUACAGGAAGUUUGUGCACCCAACGCUCUCCAAUAAGGAGAAGGAAAUCGAUGAAUACAUUACUCAGGCUCGUGACAAGAGCUAUGAAACCAUGAUGCGAGUUGGCAAGAGAGGGUUAAACCUUGCUGCCAAUGCAGCAGUUACUGCAGCUGCAAAGGGCCAGGGAGUUUUGUCUGAGAAGCUGCGAAGUUUCAGCAUGCAGGAUCUCACUCUUAUCCGGGAUGAAGAUACUGUGCACCUGCGAAGCCGGGAGCCACAACUGCACUCAUCUGGUGGGAGUCUUCUUGAAACCAUUGAGGAUUCAGCUUCCUGUUACUCCUCAGGAGAGGAGAGCAGUGUGGCACAGAGGUCUAAUGGAACCCCACUGGAGACUAGAACAGACCCAUCAGAUGAAGAUGCAGGAGAUAAACUUCCUAAACGUACCCAGAGUCUCAAAACUCCUAAGAAGAUGAUGAAAGCUGAGCUUCCAGUAAGAAGUGUCAAAGCCCGUCCCAAGAAGAAAGCUGCAGGCUCUCUUGCUUCUGUUGAGUCAUCCUAAGACAGCCUUCCCUUCCCCAGCACCUCUCUCUGUCCUGGGAUUUACCUGUCACUUUUGAGGGGAAAUUUUCCAAAGGAAGGGAGCUGAUAUUCAUGUACAUAACAGAUACUGCUUUGUAGAGCUCAUUCUGAGGCAAGGGGGAGGCUGGGAUUCAGAACAUGCAGUAGAGGAUACACAUCCUCAGGAAUUUUCUCAUUUUCAUCCCUCUGUUGGAGGGAAUGUUGAUAUGUCUGUACAUAGCCUGUUGCUUUGGAAUUCUCACUGUAUAAACCUAGUUGAGGAGAGUCUUUGCUGGGAGAACUGACUAGGGUUAGAGACAUCCUUUGCACAGAAGCUGGAAAAAUAUUAGACGCUGGAGUUCCACAGGGGUGAGUGGCUUCCUAAAAUGUCUUGUCUUGCUCUGGGUAUUCUUCUGCAGCUGUGUGUUGUGAAGAAGUGCCCACAAUGAAUCAUCCUCCUUAAGAAUGGACUGAAACCAGUCAUAUCCAUCCCCUUUGAGAAGGUGACUGAAAUGAUGUAUGCUGAGUGCUUUUGAAUCUAAUGGACUGGCUCAUGGGAGGAGUAUGCUAGAUACACAUUACUAGUACUGUAAGGUGAAGAGAUUGGUUUUAAUUUUUUUCCUUGGAAGGUGAAGGGAGAUAAUUGAAAAACUGAGUAAUGAAGAAAAUGUGCUCUUAAAUGCACCUGUGGUGAAGUAGAUACUGUAACUGUAGUUACAGUAGUAACUGUAACAGUUAGCUAUUGAAAAAGAAAGUUGGGCAUUGGUAAGAUUUCAGCUCUUUUUGAAGCUGCUUGAAUUUUAUUUCAGGUUCUGUUGUUCAUUUUGAUUCCUGUGAUACCAUCAGUGUGAGGCGAGUCUCGUGGUGGGAGAAGUUGGCAGGGAGACUGUUGCUUUGCCAUUUAGUGGUUGAACUCCAUGUCAUCCUGAUGCUUGUUACUUCAGACAGUUUUUUCGUUCUGGCAGAUGACUGGGGAAAAUCUCAGUGUCGUCUGCAGGCAUGUUGAGAAUUUCAGGAGCCCUUAUCCUCUACUGGAUUUAGGAAAUCCAGUCAUCAGGGUAUGAGAACUAAUAAAUAGCUGAUGUAUGAAUGUUGCUAAUUUCAGGAUUCCUUUUAUGGGGGGUAAAAAGCAGGGAGUAAGGAACAUUAGUGAUUAAUGAGUCCUCUUGCUUUAUCCUACUGCAGCCCUUGAACAAGUUUUCUAUGUUUCUUUGAUAAACAUGUGCCAUGUUUAUCAAUGUCCUAAGACUUCAGCAGUAUGUAACACCUGGGACAGAACUACACUGAAUGUAGUAUAUAUAUAUUGUGGGAGUUAAAUUGCAGUGUUGCAGAGAAAAUUUGUAUCAUGCCAAGCCAUACUGGAGUCUAAGCUUUUGAACAUUGUUAAGGGGAGAUCCCCUGUACAACUGCCAACAGAGUCAGUGGGCAUUUGAGAUGAGUGGGGUUCCUGUUGAGAUCUGUAAUGGAAGAGCACCAUUAUAGACGUGGUUGUCUAAGACCGUCAAGUAUUCAUUCAAUCUUUAGUGAAACUAGUUAUCAGAGGAACCUGGCUCCUCCUUCCCUACUGAAGAUCAUUCUUGGCUCUAGACGCAGACAUUUGUGUUUGCCCACAUCUUUUGCUGUCACAUUUCUUAAAUUACAGCGGAUUGUUUACAGAGCCCUGUAAUUUGCUGUUGAUGAUGUAUAGAAGCUCUUCUGCAAGUAAUAGUACACAAGUAUUUCUAUCUUAAAGAAUAGCCCUUCAACAGUUUGUGAAGUUGAAGAUGAGGACUGAAUUUUUUUCUUGUUUCCUGUUGUCCUGGUGGAAAAUUGUUACAAAUUUACUAUUUUAAGAAAACAAGUUAGUUUUAUUUGUAGCUUUAAAUUUAAGUCUUGACAAAGCAUGUCACAAACUUGCAUCUUCACAGAAAUACUUGUCCUAAAUUACCCAGAAGGCAGGAGAAAACCCUUGGUGUGGCUUCAAGGUUUGAGUUUCACAAAGAAAAGAAAAAAAAGGCAAGUAUUUUGUUUUUUUAGUUUGUUAGCAAACAGUGCAUACAUGUCUCACUAGUACAUGCAAAGCAUGUCCUGAAGCAGGAAUUCUUUCUGUUUCCAGAGGAAAGUUCUUUCUCCAUCUAAGGGAUAAAAAUCUUUACUGAUUAUGGGGAAGGUUCAGUUGCGAGGAAUUGAUGUCCUUGAUUUUACUGUACUGAAUAAAAGAGAACCGUUAUUCUCUAUAUACUAAGUAUCUGUAUGACCACAUUUCUGGAUUACUUUUUUUUCCAACUAAAAAUUUCCAUAGCAAAUCAUUUGUGUAAAUCAUUGUGAGGGAUUUGAUUUGGAAGCCAAGGAUUCAUUAGUCUCCCCUUAUGCUGAUCCUUGUGCACUUUCCGUGUGCAUGUGUUGUGAUAUCUCAGAUGGCUCUGCUUUCAUAAAGUGGCUUUCCAGAAUGUUUUCUGGAAUCUCUUCAUUUGUAGUAACUGUUCCUUCUUUGAAGCACAAAAAGAAUUUCUGAAGACUCAGUUUUGGCAUUUGUGUUUACCUUUGUCUUCUUGAGCUAAGUAUUUUUUACUUAGCAUUGUUGCUUGAUGUUAUUAGCCUGUGGCUAUGCGUCAGUCUUACUUGUGAGUUUUGUUGUACAAGGGAAUUAAAUGACUUCUGGUUGCAAGAGACAGUCUGAAGUAGAGUUAAGGACUGUUAUCUAGUAUGUGAUACAGAGCUGAUGAUGUCAAGCAGCAGAACUUACCCAGAGCAAGCAAAAUAUCUUAGCAUGGACACUGUUUUCUUCUUCCAGUAGAAAUGUGACUGCUGGAUUGUGCUCCACUUGACCAAAACCUCUGCACAUCUGCCACCACCCAUGUGACCUCUUAGUGAGUUGCUAGAUACAGUUCUGCAUUGGAUGGCAUAUUUUUGUGUAGAAAUUCCCUUGUUAAUGAGAACACUGAAUGUGCUGGUUUGAUAAAAUGCUUUUGUCAGCUGAUACUCAUUGUUUUCAGCAGAAAAUGUUGGAAUAGUUCAGCUGGAAAUGUUUCUCUUCAGUAUCAUCUGUGACCUUCAUUGUGCAAUUAAGCAAAUGGUUACAUCUUCACCCAGCAGUAGAACCCACUGUGUUCACGGGAAAUACCGUGCCUUAGGAGGAAAGCUGGAUAACUAUGGAAUACUCCACUGAUUCUCUGAUCUGCACAUAGCAUUGUAUCAAGGAGGUUUGCAUGUUACCUGUGAAGUGUCACUGUAUGCUUGAGAGCAGAUAUUGAGUUGAGCUGAGUUCUCCUGUCUGUCUUCCAAACUUGCAUAUGACGCUGGAAAGUGUGGCUUAUUGCCUAAGAGACAAAUCUGGGGAGGGGGGAAUAUUGUUGCCCUUCUUUCUGAUGGGGACACUGUACUGUCACAUUACUCUGAUACUUGCUGGGGAAUUGCUGAAUCACAUCUCUCUCUAACUUGUCAGUAGUAUAGCUUUUCUUGCCUUCGCCACUAAAAAUUUGCAGUGUGCCACCUGGCUGAAAUAUCUUGUGCUGCUGCUUUCCGAGUUGCCUCUGAAGUCAGAUACAUGGAAAAUCAGCAAAGUAUUCUGAAGCUAUAUGAACUCAUAGAAUCUCGUAGAAUCAUAGUCAGUGGAGUUGGAAGGGACCUCUGGUGAUCAUCUAGUUCAACCUCCUGGCUUCUAGGACCAGUUGCCCAAGAGUUCCUGUGUGCUAUUUGUGGUCUGGAGCUUACUGAGUUUAAUAUUUGAGAGGUGGGUUGUGCAGAAAUGCGUAUGCUGUAUGGGAAUGUGCAUCAGUGUUAUUCAGGAGAAAGGAUUCCUUGUCCCUUUUAAUCUGGAAUUUGGCACUAUUACUAGAUGCAAUCAACAUAACUCGGUCUUACAUUAUUUACAGGUAUUGUUAACAGGCCUGCGGGCUUAAGAAGAGAUCUUAAGAAGUGUUCAGAGUAACUUGUGAGAACAACUGAACAGUAGACAGUAAGCCUUCAUAGCAGCUAAGAGCCUGUCUUCUGUACAGUACAGAGUUGUCCAGGAAAUGCUGCUGCUCUUCUGAUCCUCGAGCAAUACUUAGACUCUGUGCUCUAUAGAUCAGAGCCUGAUUCCUCUCUUACAGCACCUCUCUUUCUGUCUUAUCCUUUCUAAGCUGGGCUUGAGCAACAUACGUUGAGAUUCUUGAACCUUUCAUCACUUCGGAGCAAUAAAGUUUGAAUUUAACCUCUGCAGGCAGCUGAUCUACAGGGAGGACCAGAUGAGUAUCAGGUGUCUCGCAUGACUUUGCAGUAGCUAUGUUGAGGGAGCUCCAGAGGAUAUCUUCCAUCUGGGCAAUUACCCCUCCCCCCAAGCCUACAGUUUUGGAUGAACUAAAUGCUGGACUUUGCUGUGGUCAUACACACAGCUGUCUGUAGAAUCCCAAAAUUAAGCCAGAACUGCCAGCACUUUAUUUCUGAUGAGAACUUAAAAUAAUGAGUUAAAAGAAACAGUGGCAAGUUGGUGGGUUUUUUUCUGCAGUUUUGCAGGAAAAAUUUAGGUCUCUGCUGCUUUGCUGAAAACCUUGCUGAAAACCCUUGCAAGCAAACAGUGUUUUCAUGCUGUCUUUCUCAGCUCCUGUCCUUUCAUGACCCAGUUAAGUUUCCCAUGUUUUCAUGAAGCAAAGGACUACUUGCAUUUUGCUGAGUGUGGAGACAUGAAAAAUCCUGUCUUGUAGAGCUGAAAUUUAGCGUUUUCCCAUUAUUUAAUCUUGUGACCUAGAAUCGUGCAGUCACUUGUACAACAAGGCCUAAGGCUGGAUUCCCAGAUGGAAUCUGAGGAUCUCUUGCUGAUAGCAUAGUUUGAUGUCAUUCCCUUUUCUUGCAGUGGGUUCUGGCUGAAAUAUGUUUACUGCAGACCCUUUGGACAAGAGCGUUGUGUCUGUAUUUAGCCAUAUGUUAGAAAUAACAUUUGUGGAAAAGCUGCAAAAAUGAGUGAACUCUAGAGGAGCAACAGUUCAAGUCUUCUGUAAUACAUAGCUUGCCUGAGACUAGAAGAUUUGUGGCAGCAGUAGAAAUACAUUGCUAUACUGACUUAUCAAAGGUGGGGAAUUCAGUCAUGUUCUUUGCAGCAGCUCAGGGAGGAGACUGAGCCUGCAUGGCAAGCAUGUAAGAUUUUUACAUAAAAGGGAACUAAGUUUUUAUCAUAAGUACUGCUUAGUAACUUACCAAAAAGCAAGCAAGUUGAACAUUUUUGGUGACUUUAUAAAAUUAGGAGGUAAAUGAUUAUGAUCGUCAAACUGGUAUUGAAUACAAACCCUUUGUAUUCAUGCUGCUACCUUUUUGGGAAAGCACUGAGGUGAUGGACUCCUCACUUUGACUCCUCUGUUAAAUUAUUUCUCAAAUGUUCUGAAUGCCAUAUAGAGAUAAAUGAAACUUUUACUUUGACAGGUGUCCAUUAAUUCAUAUCUAAAUUCAGGCGUGCUGAGCUAUGUAUGAGACAGUGUGGGUUGAAUGAAAGCCCAGUAAGAAAAUGGAGAAGCUGAGACAGAUCUAGCCCAGUAAAGAUUACUUGAAGGACCUUCCUUUAAGUGCAGAAAUUAGAGGCUGUGUAGCAAUACUUGGUUUUGAUUCAACAUUUUCAUGACAAAGUUUGUGUUAGCACAGUGCUGAUCUAAAGGCCGUAAGGCAAGGGAAGGAUUGUGAAUUGCAUGUUGUCCACCAGAGGGUAUAACAUACAGUCGUGGAAAAGAGAGCAGAGACUUUUCUGGUAACAGCUGACAGGUUGAAUGUCAGUAUUUCCUGUGUAUGAGAGUGAAAGUCUUACCUGGGGGAGGGAGAGGGGGGAACAUGACACUGAUAAACUGGGGCUCUGAUGAAGAAAUACAGAGUAAUACUGCAGUUAACCCCUGGCUAAGGCUGUUUAAACUUGCUGGGCUUUCUAAUUGAGCCACUUUCCAGUGAGGCUUGCUGAGAUUAUGGUGUUACAGAAUACCUGUCCUCAAAUCUUUUUGUUGUCCACUCAAGCUAUUUUCUAGCUCCUGGAAAUAUGGUAGUGCUUGUGACUUAUCCCCCCCCCCCCCCCCCCCUUUUUUUUUGCGAUUAGUCACUUUGAGUUUGUUUAUUCAGUAGUGUUGCCAUAAUUUAUACUCUGAUUUUUUGUUUAGUAUUUCCUUGUAAGAAUGAGUAGUUUCUUUCAAUUGGAUCUGUAUUCUGGCAAAAUAGAAGCAAUUUUAGUCUAAAAAAUACGUGUCUGACAGUUAUUAUGAUAAUUUGUGACCAUGGCAACAGAGAGUUGACAUUCUGAAGGACAGGUUCAUUCUUUGGUUGUUCGGGGUUUUUUUCAGUCACAAUCUAAUUACUGUUGCAAGCAUUUCAGGGAAAACUCUGACUACCUUAUUUCUUGACCGUACAAGUUCAUAAAGGGACAAGGGAUUUUGACAUUAUCUCACAACAGAUUUUCAUAGAACAGGUGAUGGAGUAUGGGCUAAAUGAGCAGAAUGAGGUGCAUAAAAACUGGCUGAAUGGCCAGGCCUGGAGGGUGGUAAUCAGUCCCAGGGAGCCUAAUUGGAGGUCGGCAGCUAUCAGCAUACCCCAGGGCUCAGCACUGCGUCCAGUCCUCUAACAUCUUCACAGUGGUCUGGAUGAGAGGGCAAGAGUGUACUCUCUAAGUCUGCUGAUAAUGCAGGACUGGGAGGAGUGGCUGAUAGGCCAGAAGGUUGCACAGGAAGCAGCAAGAGGUAUGUAGAGUAUCUGACCUUGCAUCUCAAAAUAGAUGGAAAUCCUAAUAGGAACCUAAUUCGUUCUGCUUUUGAGAAAGAGGAGGUCUUUUAUUUUCAGCGUCCUAAAUGGAGGUUUACAAACUGAAGGAAGGUUCAGGACAUACCAGAAGGUUGGAAAGAGAAAUAGAAUUUAGACUAGAACUGGGGAUUCUUUAUUGUCAGACUUCGUAAAACCAACCAAACAACCCACCAGCAACAAUAAGUGAUCUGUUUCUGUUCUGUUUUUUUUCCAUCAUACGAUCAGUUAAAUAACAGCAGUGCUUUCAGGCAGGUGCUAAAUUUCAGCUACAAGUUGUGGAUUGCCCUGACAUAUUUGAGAUCCCAGCAGCACGUAUUCCAUUAUAGGAAUGCAUUUUUAAUAGUGAUUUGAAGAGUUGUAAGAAAUAGAUAUGUUACUGAGGGAAGUAGGAAUGAGCCCUCAUGACUGAGUCUCAUAGUUAGUGAAUGGCUGUCUCUGGCAGCAUAGAGCUUUAAUGUAAAGGCUGUCUACUAUCAAUACUUAAUGUCAGUUUUAUAAGGAAAUGUGCUGGAUAUAAGUAUAGCCAAAGCCAAAUCACAGUAUUUUCCAAGCUUCCUCUUUUCCUAGGCCCUAAUGGGGAAUCUAGCAACUGAAUGGAAAUUACAGCAUUGCUCCUAUCACUUGCUAAUUUGGGGCAAUGAAUAUCUUGAAUUAAAUAGAAUCUAAAAUGCAUUUAAAAGCCGAUUUUUGUAAAAGCCAGCUGUUGUGACCAUUCUGUAUUUGCUGCAGGAUUAUAGUAACUGAUAGUGGAGCCACUGUGAUGCUCAGAGUCUGUUACCUCAGAAAAGGAAAACCAGAAGAGGCCAGCCCAAACUUAUCUGGUUCAGCUAGUCCAGUCUCUUGUCUGAUACUGCUCAAUCUGUUUGAUGACCAGUGGGCAGUCUGGAAUUACACACACUGGAAAAGCCUCUUCCUGACUAUCACUUUUUUGCCCAUGCUGUGAGGCAUGGUGAUGUUAAAUGACUGGGUUACUAGGGUUGGUUUUUUUGAGGGGAAAAAGUUGUUCAACUUCUUCCACUAGUUUUUUGUAGUCAUUAAAAGUUUGGUCACUUACUGCAGUAUGACAACUUAAAUGUAAAAAACCCUAAGUCAUCCCAAUCUUGUAUUGAGCUUUGUUACCCAUACUCUUUCUAGGUAUCUUUUUACAUUAUCUUUUAUGAAGACCAUUAAAAAAAAUCUUGUACUAUCUCUUCAAUAUCUUGCUCAUUUGCUCUCAUUUAGUUUCUCCUACUUCAAAGGACCUGCUGUUUUUCUUCCAUUUCUUCCCAGAGUAUGAUAGAAAAGGUGUUAUCGAUGCGGAUGUGCUUUCAUUCCACGGGGUGGCAGCUAAUCUUCAUUUCCUUUCUCAGUUAUUUUGACAUUUCUGCUGGAAGCAUCUUUCCUGGCCAAGUUCCCCUUUGAGGCGUUAAGGGUCAUAAACAUGUAAAUACAGCCCUUCUGUUGGGGUUAAAGAGUGUUUGGAAAAGCUUAUUAUAUUGUGUCUGUUUAAGCUGUAUCAACUUGAUGAAGACUCUAGCAGCUGACAAGGCAAAGCAUCAUGCAAGGGCUAUAUUUUGAAUAUUACAUAUUGCUGCCAUUUUAUGUGGGUAUCUUGCAAGUGGUGCUUUAGGCAUAACUGAACACAAGCAGAGGUGGCACCUUCUAGAUAGAAGUUACUUUGCUAGAAGCUUAGUUAUUGAUGUGGGUGGGGGAGAGAGGUUCUGGAAGUUAAUUAUUAACUUUUUAGUCCUGGUUUAUUUUGGCAGGUAAAUGUCUUGGAUAAUUUGAAUUGAAAUCUCCAUGUGUCACUAGAACAAGCAUACAAGUUUAUGAGUAUGGGCUUUUGUUCUUUGCUAUCAAGUUUACAUAAUUUCCUCCCACCCCCUGCCCUAGUUUCUUAUUAUUGAUGCCUGUAAAUAUUUUUCAUUAAAAGGCUGCUGGUUUUUUAUCUUCUCAAAUUGUUAUAGUUUAACUCCAUGUCUGUCUUAUGUGUUUAGUCUUCUGCCAUUCUACCCUUCCAUUGUUGAAUAAAGAUAUGAAAAUU